rnacentral:rRNA from 1 species
UACGGAGGGCGCAAGCGUUAUCCGGAUUCACUGGGUUUAAAGGGUGCGUAGGUGGGUUGAUAAGUCAGUGGUGAAAUCCCCGAGCUUAACUUGGGAACUGCCAUUGAUACUAUUGAUCUUGAAUACCGUGGAGGUCAGCGGAAUAUGUCAUGUAGCGGUGAAAUGCUUAGAUAUGACAUAGAACACCAAUUGCGAAGGCAGCUGGCUACGCGAAUAUUGACACUGAUGCACGAAAGCGUGGGGAUCAAACAGG